UACGUAGGGUGCAGGCGUUAAUCGGAAUACUGGGCGUAAAGCGUGCGCAGGCGGUUUGCUAAGACAGGUGUGAAAUCCCCGGGCUUAACCUGGGAACUGCAUUUGUGACUGCAUCGCUGGAGUGCGGCAGAGGGGGAUGGAAUUCCACGUGUAGCAGUGAAAUGCGUAGAGAUGUGGAGGAACACCGAUGGCGAAGGCAGCCCCCUGGGUCAAGACUGACGCUCAUGCACGAAAGCGUGGGGAGCAAACAGG
rnacentral:rRNA from 1 species